rnacentral:rRNA from 1 species
CGCGUAGGCGGCUAUGUAAGUCGGAUGUGAAAGCCCCGGGCUCAACCUGGGAACUGCAUUCGAUACUGUAUAGCUAGAGUUUGGUAGAGGGAAGUGGAAUUCCACAUGUAGCGGUGAAAUGCGUAGAUAUGUGGAGGAACACCAGUGGCGAAGGCGACUUCCUGGACCAAAACUGACGCUGAGGUGCGAAAGCGUGGGUAGCAAACAGGAUUAGAUACCCUGGUAGUCC